UACGGAGGGGGCAAGCGUUGUUCGGAAUUACUGGGCGUAAAGGGCGCGUAGGCGGCCGGCUAAGUCAGACGUGAAAUCCCUCGGCUCAACCGGGGAACUGCGUCUGAUACUGGGUGGCUUGAAUCCGGGAGAGGGAUGCGGAAUUCCAGGUGUAGCGGUGAAAUGCGUAGAUAUCUGGAGGAACACCGGUGGCGAAGGCGGCAUCCUGGACCGGCAUUGACGCUGAGGCGCGAAAGCCAGGGGAGCAAACGGG
rnacentral:rRNA from 1 species